GCCUCUAUGGAUUAAUGUUAAAUCACCUCUGCUGCGUGUCGUGCUCUGCUGAAGAAUUCAGAGGAGACGUAGGUUCGAGUCCUACUGGAGGCG